AGCACACCAUUCUUUGUGCAUAUGAUUCCCAUCUCCAUAUGCUGAAGGAAAAAAACAAAAACAAACGCACAAAAACUUUUUAAACAGCACACUGCAUAACUCUGAGGCCAGGAGACAUUGUGCUGAAGAUCUCAGAUUCUAGCCCUUGUGAAUAGUUGUUCUGACAUGUGAAGAGUUGUUCUUAAAGUAGCCUAAGUGGCGACUUGGCAAAUUUUGGAGAGCUCUUCAGAGCCAUUCCAGCUCUGUGCAUUAGCAUCCUCCUGAGCAAAAAACACUGGGAAGAAACUGAAAGAGUGCAGGACUGGAGAGUAAGACAGGAAAUACCUGCAGGCUCCUCCCCUUCCUGUCUGGACAUCACAACAAGGGACACUGGGACCUUCGUCCAAGGAGCAGCGCUGCACUGGCGAUAUCCAAAACAGCUCCUUGUCAUCAAUCGACCCCCUCUUUUCCCGAGUGACACCGGCGAGGAGAUGAAAUGUUAGAAACAUGCAGCAAGAGAGAACAUACCAUCAGAGAAUAUCCGAGGGGACCAGAAGCCGAUGUUGGAGAAGAACUAUCCACCGGUAUCGGGUUAGUUUCCUUCUUUAUUACUUAAACCUUUCACGUGCCGAAGAAAACAAUCCUGACUGAGAAAUGAGGCUGGAUAUGGGGGAAGGGAUGAGAGAAAGGGGGGCAUAUCCUGCUACUUCUGACGCUGGGUCAUGUGAAACCACAACCUUUACACACAGCAAGACGGGGUGUGCGUUGUGAGAGGCGGUCGGGGAACAUCGUACGGACAUCUGGAGCCACUGAGCAAAGCCAAAAUCGUCAAGGAAAAGCUUCUUUAUAAUACACAUACACGCACUCCUCUCUCCCUCGCUCAGUUCGUCGAGACCGAUUUUUCUGCGUUCACAAUGGAAGCCUUUUAAUUGAAAUGCCUUUGAACAUUUCUUUUUAUUAGCCCACGCUGCGGCGAGCGUAUAUCCAGAUUACCAUUUUCUUGUUCUCAAAUGUUGACAAUUAAAUGUCAAUGUUUAUAUUAUUUUGAAAGUUACCAUAAUACGUUCUAAAUAUAUUUCCAUAACAUAAAUUAAAAACAUUUUUAAACCCUGCAGCGUCUAGAACCAUUCAUCAGACAACUAGCUAAAUGUUUUGUUUUGACCAAACUGUCCGUAUUGGCUCAAUCGGAAAGGAUCAUCAUUCCCCACAGAAUCGAUUAACUGUACCCAAGGUGGCUUUGAUGACUUGUGUUUUUGUUAUGCUUUAAAAUCCAAAUGUACACAGAUUUCUUUGAAAAUGUGUUGAAAUAUUUCAAGUAGGCAAUUUCUACAUGUUACACAAAAAAUAUAUAUUUAUUCAGUGAAGCCAGACAGCUAGUCCUAAUUUUGACAUACUAAUUACAUAGCAAUUAUUUGAGGUAAUACUGAAAAGUGGUUGUAAAAAUAGCGAGACAGCAUAAUACAUACAUUUUUUUUUUAAUGACAAAGCUCCAAUGAACGAAAUGAGCAUGACCAACUUUGCAUGUAUAGUGGUGGACAAUUGGAGCAGUAUUGUUGCCUGAUGAAAAUAUUUUGUUUGUUAAGUGAUCCUAAAAACGCAUGAACCAACAAACAAACUUACAGCCUACCGCAGGGCACUGGAUUUAUGUUUGUGUUGAAAGAAAAUGCUUUAAAUUCUAAUCAGGGAGUAUAGGCCUAGUUGAUGAUGUCCUAGCCAUUGUCUUUACAUGUUUAUGCCAGAGACUUCUGCUGUGAGACUAGCUACAUUAAUUAGCAGGUUCAUCUCCUGCGUAAAACUGAAGUUGUCAUAUGAACUGUUAAUGUAGUCUAUGCUGUGUACAACAUUGGUUACUUAAGUGCAGUUAUUGGAAGUGUGGCAGAGAACACGCUUUUCUCUCGGAGUACAGACCUUUAUCUUGACUGGAAUAUCGAUAAAUGGAAGUUCCGCUGUCUAAGUUAAAUGUCUGCAGGUGAUUGCUGUGUUUUUGUCUGUAUUUUUUACUAAACGUUGCCCUUUCUGGCAGCUUCCUUGGUAAGCGGGCCUUCACCACAAGGCUCCCGUUGUUUUACAAAAAAAAAAAAGAGGAUUGGAAGGCUGACCGUUUGAACCCAGGAAACCCAGCAUGCACCAGGGCAGUUGGGAACGGAUGGGAAUGUCCAGGUUUGCAUGUUUCUGCUUGGCGGAGGGCAGAGGGGGUGGUUGAUUUUAGAAUCAAAAGGGGGGCUACUAAAUGUCAAACAACUCCCCAAACUGAGCAUGGACAAAAAAGCUUUGAGGGGAUGGGCUCAAAGUACAGUACAGCUGAAUAGCAAGACCAGAACUCCUGGAUUGUGUCUGCGGGGAGGACAGGUUGGGGGAGUAAUUACAAAGGUAGGGAAAUAAGUUUGCCUUAUAAGAAAAGUGAUGAUACCUUGUAUAAUCAAAGAGAUUUAUGGGCAG